GACGGAGGAUGCAAGUGUUAUCCGGAAUCACUGGGCGUAAAGCGUCUGUAGGUGGUUCGAAAAGUCCACUGUUAAAAAUUGAGGCUUAACUUCAAAGAUGCCGUGGAAACUUUCAAACUAGAGUAUGGUAGGGGUAGAGGGAAUUUCCAGUGGAGCGGUGAAAUGCGUAGAUAUUGGAAAGACCACCGAUGGCGAAGGCACUCUACUGGGCCAUUACUGACACUGAGAGACGAAAGCUAGGGGAGCAAAAUGGG
rnacentral:rRNA from 1 species